rnacentral:rRNA from 1 species
AAAAUCCGCGGUCCAUUAAUCCUGAGAUGUGAUGCCGAGCCGAUUGUGGCGAAGUGGGUGAUCCUAUGCUGCCGAGAAAAGCCUCUAGUGAGUGUCGUGGCGGCCCGUACCCCAAACCGACUCAGGUGGUCAGGUAGAGAAUACCAAGGCGAUCGGGUGAACUGUGGUUAAGGAACUCGGCAAAUUGCCCCCGUAACUUCGGGAGAAGGGGGGCCUCCGCUGGUGAUCAGACUUGCUUUGUGAGCUGGUGGGGGUCGCAGAGGCCAGGGGGAAGCGACUGUUUACUAAAAACACAGGUCCGUGCGAAGUCGUAAGACGAUGUAUACGGACUGACGCCUGCCCGGUGCUGGAACGUUAAGGGGACCGGUUAGCGUACUUUCGGGUGUGCGAGGCUGAGAACUUAAGCGCCAGUAAACGGCGGUGGUAACUAUAACCAUCCUAAGGUAGCGAAAUUCCUUGUCGGGUAAGUUCCGACCUGCACGAAUGGCGUAACGACUUCCCCGCUGUCUCAACCGCAGACCCGGCGAAAUUGCACUACGAGUAAAGAUGCUCGUUACGCGCAGCAGGACGGAAAGACCCCGGGACCUUCACUACAGCUUGACAUUGGCGUUUGGAACGUCUUGUGUAGGAUAGGUGGGAGACUGUGAAGCUGUCACGCUAGUGGCGGUGGAGUCAUUGGUGAAAUACCACUCUGGUCGUUUUGAACGUCUAACUUCGGUCCGUGAUCCGGAUCAGGGACAGUGUCAGGUGGGUAGUUUAACUGGGGCGGUUGCCUCCUAAAGAGUAACGGAGGCGCCCAAAGGUUCCCUCAGCCUGGUUGGUAAUCAGGUGUCGAGUGUAAGUGCACAAGGGAGCUUGACUGUGAGACCGACGGGUCGAGCAGGAGCGAAAGCUGGGACUAGUGAUCCGGCGGUGGCAUGUGGAAGCGCCGUCGCUCAACGGCUAAAAGGUACCCCGGGGAUAACAGGCUGAUCUUCCCCAAGAGUCCAUAUCGACGGGAUGGUUUGGCACCUCGAUGUCGGCUCGUCGCAUCCUGGGGCUGGAGUAGGUCCCAAGGGUUGGGCUGUUCGCCCAUUAAAGCGGUACGCGAGCUGGGUUUAGAACGUCGCGAGACAGUUCGGACCCUAUCCGCUGCGCGCGCAGGAGACUUGAAAGGAGCUGUCCCUAGUACGAGAGGACCGGGACGGACGAACCUCUGGUGUGCCAGUUGUUCCGCCAGGAGCAUGGCUGGUUGGCUACGUUCGAAAGGGAUAACCGCUGAAAGCAUCUAAGCGGGAAGCUCGCCUUGAGAUGAGGUCUCCCACCACGAGAGUGGGUAAGGCCCCCGGGAGACGACCGGGUUGAUAGGCCGGAGGUGGAAGCAUGGCAACGUGUGGUGCUGACCGGUACUAAUAGGCCGAGGACUUGACC